rnacentral:rRNA from 1 species
ACGGAGGGUGCAAGCGUUAAUCGGAAUUACUGGGCGUAAAGGGCGCGUAGGUGGUAUCUUAAGUUGGGUGUGAAAGCCCCGGGCUCAACCUGGGAAUUGCAUCCAAAACUGGGGUACUAGAGUGUGGUAGAGGGUAGCGGAAUUUCUGGUGUAGCGGUGAAAUGCGUAGAUAUCAGAAGGAACAUCAAUGGCGAAGGCAGCUACCUGGGCCAACACUGACGCUGAGGCGCGAAAGCAUGGGGAGCAAACAG